CGCCUGGGGAGUGCGGCCGCAAGGUUAAAACUCAAAUGAAUUGACGGGGGCCCGCACAAGCGGUGGAGCAUGUGGUUUAAUUCGAUGCAACGCGAAGAACCUUACCAGGUCUUGACAUCCUCGGAACUUGGCAGAGAUGCCUUGGUGCCUUCGGGAGCCGAGUGACAGGUGCUGCAUGGCCGUCGUCAGCUCGUGUCGUGAGAUGUUGGGUUAAGUCCCGUAACGAGCGCAACCCUUGUCCUUAGUUGCCAGCACGUCAUGGUGGGAACUCUAGGGAGACUGCCGGUGACAAACCGGAGGAAGGUGGGGACGACGUCAGGUCAUCAUGGCCCUUACGACCUGGGCUACACACGUGCUACAAUGGCUGGUACAGAGGGUUGCGAAGUCGCGAGGCGAAGCUAAUCCCUUAAAGCCAGUCGUAGUCCGGAUCGGAGUCUGCAACUCGACUCCGUGAAGUCGGAAUCGCUAGUAAUCGCGGAUCAGGAUGCCGCGGUGAAUACGUUCCCGGGCCUUGUACACACCGCCCGUCACACCAUGGGAGUGGAUUGCACCAGAAGUGGCUAGUCUAACUACGGAGGACGGUCACCACGGUGUGGUUCAUGACUGGGGUGAAGUCGUAACAAGGUAACCGUA
rnacentral:rRNA from 1 species